CUUUCCUCCAGCCUAAAUGUGUGACCUCGUGUCCUAUGUAUAGCCCUGUUUAUGAAUAGAUUUCCAGAUAAAGGUUUGUACUGGCCCCCGAAUAUAUUUGUAUAAAGUUAUCAUAUCCCCUCUCAGGCGCCGUUUUUCCAAACUAAACAGAUUUAAUUUUUUUAACCUUUAUUCAUAACUAAAAUGCUCCAUUCCUUUUAUCAAUUUUGUAGCUCGUCUCUGGACCC